GACGAACGCUGGCGGCGUGCUUAACACAUGCAAGUCGAACGGUAAGGCUCCAGCUUGCUGGGGUACACGAGUGGCGAACGGGUGAGUAACACGUGGGUGACCUGCCCUGCACUUCGGGAUAAGCCUGGGAAACUGGGUCUAAUACCGGAUAGGACCGCACCGUGAGGGUGGGGUGGAAAGUUUUUUCGGUGUGGGAUGGGCUCGCGGCCUAUCAGCUGGUUGGUGGGGUAAUGGCUUACCAGGGCGGGGACGGGUAGCCGGCCUGAGAGGGGGGACGGCCACAUUGGGACUGAGGCACGGCCCAGACUCCAACGGGAGGCAGCGGUGGAGAAUAUUGCACAGUGGGCGGAAGCCUGAUGAAGCGACGCCGCGUGGGGGAUGACGGCCUUCGGGUUGUGAACUCCUUUCACCAUCGACGAAGGGUUUCUGACGGUAGAUGGAGAAGAAACACCGGCUAACUACGUG
rnacentral:rRNA from 1 species